rnacentral:misc_RNA from 1 species
GAAUGAGAAUGGAACAUAAUAAUGAUGGUAAUGCAAAUUGCUUAAUCUAUGUUUGUGGAUGCUGUUAAUAAAAACAAAGCAGAAAAACAUACAUUGAGCAGAAAAACAAAGCUUGUGAUAUGGGUAGAGACAGGCCAAUUGAGAGGGAGAUCACAAAACUGUCUCCUACUAUGAUGGUCCUGCACUAAUUUUACUAACGUUGCUGCCGCUGCUACUACAUCCCCAACAUAACAUAAAUAUAGCUUAAACUUGCUAGAAAUGGAAAUGCAUGAUCUGUGAAGCAUGGAGUAAAUUUUCAAGGCCUGGUAAAUAUGCAGCCUUUCGGAGGAGAUGUAGUGAAGGGAGAAUUUGAAGGAAAAACUAGGAAAAAAAAA